AUUGAACGCUAGCGGGAUGCUUUACACAUGCAAGUCGAACGGCAGCGCGGACUUCGGUCUGGCGGCGAGUGGCGAACGGGUGAGUAAUGUAUCGGAACGUGCCCAGUAGCGGGGGAUAACUACGCGAAAGCGUAGCUAAUACCGCAUACGCCCUACGGGGGAAAGCAGGGGAUCGUAAGACCUUGCACUAUUGGAGCGGCCGAUAUCGGAUUAGCUAGUUGGUGAGGUAACGGCUCACCAAGGCGACGAUCCGUAGCUGGUUUGAUAGGACGAACAGCCACACUGGGACUGAGACACGGCCCAGACUCCUACGGGAGGCAGCAGUGGGGAAUUUUGGACAAAGGGGGCAAGCCUGAUCCAGCCAUCCCGCGUGUGCGAUGAAGGCCUUCGGGUUGUAAAGCACUUUUGGCAGGAAAGAAACAUCGCGGGCUAAUACGCCGUGGAACUGACGGUACCUGCAGAAUAAGCACCGGCUAACUACGUG
rnacentral:rRNA from 1 species